GAAUGCCGGAAUGAGUAGCGAGAGAGAAGUGAGAAUCUUCUCGGCCGAAUAUCCAAGGUUUCCAGGGUAAAGCUGAUCUGCCCUGGGUAAGUCGGGGCCUAAGGCGAGGUCGGAAGACGUAGCCGAUGGACAACAGGUUGAAAUUCCUGUACUGUGAUAUAUCAGAACUGUGGGGACACAGCGGGAAGGCAUGGGCCGGAAAAGGAAAAUCCGGUGCAAGCACCAGAGGAGUAUGGCAGGCAAAUCCGCCAUGCAAUCCGAAAGUGUGAAGCGGAGCGAACAAAAGUAGCGAAGCAUGCUUACCGGCUGUCGAGAAAAGCCGCUAUUGCGUAUAUCACACCCGUACCGUAAACCGACACAGGUGGAUGAGGAGAGAAUCCUAAGGCCGGCGGGAGAAGCAUUGUUAAGGAACUCGGCAAAAUGACCCCGUAACUUCGGGAGAAGGGGCGCUCUUGAAAAAGAGCCGCAGAGAAUUGGCCCAAGCAACUGUUUAGCAAAAACACAGGUCUAUGCAAAACCGAAAGGUGAGGUAUAUGGGCUGACGCCUGCCCGGUGCUGGAAGGUUAAGAGGAGAGGUUAUCGAAAGAGAAGCCUUGAAUUUAAGCCCCAGUAAACGGCGGCCGUAACGAUAACGGUCCUAAGGUAGCGAAAUUCCUUGUCGGGUAAGUUCCGACCCGCACGAAAGGCGUAAUGAUUUGGGCACUGUCUCGACAAUGCACCCGGUGAAAUUGAAAUACCAGUGAAGAUGCUGGUUACCUGCGCCAGGACGGAAAGACCCCAUGGAGCUUUACUCUAGCUUGAUACUGGGAUUCGGUAUUGCAUGUACAGGAUAGGUGGGAGGCUGCGAAGUGAUGACGCCAGUUGUCACGGAGCCAAUGUUGGGAUACCACCCCUGCAGUACUGGGUUUCUAACCUGCGGCCGUAACCCGGCCGGGGGACAAUGUCUGGUGGGGAGUUUGACUGGGGCGGUCGCCUCCGAAAGAGUAUCGGAGGCGCUCAAAGGUUCCCUCAGAAUGGUUGGAAACCAUUCGAAGAGUGCAAAGGCAGAAGGGAGCUUGACUGCGACACCGACGGGUGGAGCAGGUACGAAAGUAGGACUUAGUGAUCCGGUGGUAUGAAAGUGGGAUUGCCAUCGCUCAACGGAUAAAAGCUACCCUGGGAUAACAGGCUUAUCACUCCCAAGAGUUCACAUCGACGGAGUGGUUUGGCACCUCGAUGUCGGCUCAUCGCAUCCUGGGGCUGUAGUAGGUCCCAAGGGUUGGGCUGUUCGCCCAUUAAAGCGGUACGCGAGCUGGGUUCAGAACGUCGUGAGACAGUUCGGUCCCUAUCCGGCGUGGGCGUAGGAUAUCUGAGAGGAGCUGUCCUUAGUACGAGAGGACCGGGAUGGACUGACCUCUGGUGGACCGGUUGCACUGCCAAGUGCAUGGCCGGGUAGCCAAGUCGGGACGGGAUAAACGCUGAAGGCAUCUAAGCGUGAAGCCCCCCUCAAGAUGAGAUAUCCCAUAACGUAAGUUAGUAAGACCCCUUGAAGACGACGAGGUAGAUAGGUGAAAGGUGGAAGCACGGUGACGUGUGGAGCUGAUUCAUACUAAUAGGUCGAGGGCUUAAC
rnacentral:rRNA from 1 species